GAAAAAAGUGGCUGUGACAUAAUCGGACAGACAGACGGACAUGACGAAUCUAUAAGGGUUCCGUUUUUUGCCAAUUGGCUACGGAACCCUAAAAAGAGAAUAUAUUAUUGAAAUAAAGAGCCCACGAAGAAACCUACAACACAGAAACGUGACAAAUGAUUCAAUGACAACCAGACGAGGCUUCCCGUUUACACUUUUUUGCGAUUUUGUAAGAAAUUUAUCGGAAAAAACUUACUUAUUACAGUAGGAAGCAUAUUUACUGAAAUAGUUUUUCGAUUUAGUCCACUUUACAAAUUUUGAUAUGUUGCCAAUUCAGUGACCACAAAACAUGUGAGUCAGUACAGAGCCAUCGGUUUUGGCUGUCAAACUUGAGGUACGCUAAUCUCCGAUUUUACGUAAGUAUCUUAGACUUUGCCUCUCUAGGUAUAAUAACUCUUUUUCCUACUCCUCUACUGUUAUCUGUCAUUUAUGCAUUCAUUAACACGAAUAUAAGAACAUACAGAAAAGGUUUCAAGAAAAGUCUAUAUUGUCUAUUCCUCAUAAAAGCUCUUGUGCUUUUAAUCGCUAUAACGUUACUGCGAUUAAUGGCUACCAACCUAACAAAACCAAAACGAAUACAGUUUUAAACUAAGUGCAUUGCUGCCAACUUACAAAAUAUUCAUUUGGUUGCAUAGUAAAAAUAAUUACUUCAUAAGUCAGAAACACGCAUGUGA